rnacentral:rRNA from 1 species
UACAGAGGGGGCAAGCGUUGUUCGGAAUUACUGGGCGUAAAGGGCGCGUAGGCGGCCUUCUAAGUCAGACGUGAAAUCCCCCGGCUUAACCUGGGAACUGCGUCUGAUACUGGGAGGCUUGAGUAUGGGAGAGGGAUGUAGAAUUCCAGGUGUAGCGGUGAAAUGCGUAGAUAUCUGGAGGAAUACCGGUGGCGAAGGCGGCAUCCUGGACCAUUACUGACGCUGAGGCGCGAAAGCUAGGGGAGCAAACGGG